UCUCAGUGAUGAAAACUUUGUCCAGUUCUGCUACAGACUUGAGAUGUUGAUAAAGUAUAACCUGAAGGAGA